GUUUGGCACCUCGAUGUCGGCUCAUCGCAUCCUGGGGCUGUAGUCGGUCCCAAGGGUUGGGCUGUUCGCCCAUUAAAGCGGUACGCGAGCUGGGUUCAGAACGUCGUGAGACAGUUCGGUCCCUAUCCGUCGUGGGCGUAGGAAAUUUGAGAGGAGCUGUCCUUAGUACGAGAGGACCGGGAUGGACGAACCUAUGGUGAAUCGGUUGUGGCGCCAGCUGCAUUGCCGAGUAGCUAAGUUCGGAAGGGAUAACCGCUGAAAGCAUCUAAGUGGGAAGCCCAUCACAAGAUAAGACUUC
rnacentral:rRNA from 11 species